AAUAUAUGACGCCAUUGAUUUUUUUUCAAUGUUUGACCAUUUGUCUUAUUCAAAAAAUUUAUGUAAUUAUCAUUUAUUUUAUUGCGACUUGAUUCGUCAUCAAAUGUUCUUUAAGCAUGACAUAAAUAUUUUCAUAUUUGCACAAAAACUUUAAAUAAAACGAAUGGUCAAACGUUGGUUGAAAAGCAAAUGGCGCCAUAUAUU
rfam:Oryza barthii chromosome 11, whole genome shotgun sequence.